rnacentral:lncRNA from 1 species
GUCAGGGAGCAGCUACCAAGGCUGGAAAAGAUACGUACACACCCCGAAAAGUGCAACCCUAACAAGUUUUGCCUCUAUCAUCGUGACCACGGCUACGACACGGAGGAGUGUAUUCAGCUCCAAGAUGAGAUCGAGGAGUUAAUCAGACGAAGUCGGCUCGACAGAUUUAUCCGACAUCGGCCUGAAGGUAGGAAAGAUCGGUCGAGGGUCCUACCACAGCC